rnacentral:lncRNA from 10 species
GCUCUGAUUCACACCUCUGUCUUUGAUUUUCUAUUUCUAACACUCUGGGCAGUGAAUCCCAUCAAAAAUAAAUAAGAUAAUCCCAUCAAGAGUCAAGAAGACAAUGAAGACAGUGCAUUGCUCUUGGAAGCUUUGUCUUGAAUUUCAGAUUCCUCUUGGGCUCAGAAUUACCCACCUGAAAUGAGAAAGCUGGAUGAGGCGCUCCCACCCAACAGGCACUGCCCCUCAAGACCCAGCCUUUCUCUGGGCUCCGGACAAAAUUGAGCCUCAGGCGUCUCUGUGAGCUGGGCUGAUGGACGUCAUUUGCUCAGAUGGAGGCACUGCAAACGGAGCUGAGCUGCCUGGGAUGAGAGGAUGGCCUGGCUCUGGCCAGGAGCUCCCUAAGGCAAACACGUAUGUCCCUGGGCCCUGGGUGUCCUCCUCAGAAAAGAAGAAGCCACCUCUAGGGAUGGCAGUCCAAAGUGGCUCUCACCAAAAUUAUUUGGGUAGUGUGGUCUCUGGGCUGGCGAUAUCAGCAUGACUGGGAAUUUGUUAGAAAAGCAACUUCUCUGGAAAUAGAGCCCAGAAAUCUCUGGUUGCCAAGUUCUGCAGCUUACGGCAUUCUUGCAGCAUGACAAAGUGUGAGAUACAC